AACGCACAUUGCGCCCUUUGGUAUUCCGAAGGGCAUGUCUGUUCGAGCGUCAUAAAAACAAAAUCAAGCACAGCUUGGCAGUGGACGUCUCCGUCCCCCCUGGCGGGACGCGUCUUAAAGUUUUGAUGCGGUGGCUUCGGACCCCGAGCGUAGUAGAAUUAAACCCCGCUCCAGAGGGCUUCGAGUGCCUCCAGCUUCGAAAACCCAUCACUUUCAGAGAUUUGACCUCGGAUCAGAUAAGAAUACCCGCUGAACUUAA
rnacentral:misc_RNA from 1 species